UUAUGGCCAUAUCUCGUUGAAACACCGGUUCCCGUAAGGUUACGGAAGUUAAGCAACGUCAAACCUGGUCAGUACCUAGAUGGGUGACCGCUUGUGAAUACCAGGUGCUGUAGG